CAGAGAGAAACUCCAAUCGCAGGGCCCAAGAAUGAGAGCAAGAUUGUGAACAGCAGAAACAGGAUAAUAAGUGGCAGUGACUGUUUGGAGAACAGAUUUUACAAACAAAAGUGCAUGUUUUGGAAUGACAACAUGGCAGUGGUCCAUGUCCUCCAGAUCGUCCAGAAUUAUGGAGGCCCCAAACAAGAUUGCCAAGACCUAAGCACUGGGGGCGGCUGGAACUGCUUCCUCGCAGACUGCAGCAUAUACAUGUCCUUCAACUCACGCAGCCUCACAUCUAUUUGCUCUCAGAAGAGACUGACCCCAUCAAAUGGGAGGUCUUGGAUCGAGGUCUGCAUCUCUUAGGAGGGGCCGGUGGUCCGAAGCCAGGAGCUGAGCCCCAUAACCACCGCCAAUGCUACCACUGAGACAACCGCAUUCUAUGCCAUUUGGAAUGAGCACCAAGCUGCCGUAGUGCCGUCCGCAACUAGGGUGCUGAAUUCCUGGGCCCAUCCCUGCGGGAGGGACUCCUGGAACUUAUGGGUGGGAGUCCCAUACGUUAAAAUUGUACCUCCCUAGGAGGGCCUGAUGGUUUGCUACCUGAAAUUGCAGGCUGGCAGUUGAAUAAAUUUUUCUCCCAAACAGGU